GUCCGGAAUUAUUGGGCGUAAAGAGCGUGUAGGCGGUUCGGUAAGUCUGCCGUGAAAACCUGGGGCUCAACCCCGGGCGUGCGGUGGAUACUGCCGGGCUAGAGGGUGGUAGAGGCGAGUGGAAUUCCCGGUGUAGCGGUGAAAUGCGCAGAUAUCGGGAGGAACACCAGUAGCGAAGGCGGCUCGCUGGGCCAUUCCUGACGCUGAGACGCGAAAGCGUGGGGAGCGAACAGGAUUAGAUACCCUGGUAGUCCACGCCGUAAACGAUGAACACUAGGUGUUGGGGGAGUCGGAUCCCUCGGUGCCGCAGCCAACGCGUUAAGUGUUCCGCCUGGGGAGUACGGCCGCAAGGCUAAAACUCAAAAGAAUUGACGGGGGCCCGCACAAGCAGCGGAGCAUGUUCUUUAAUUCGAUGCAACGCGAAGAACCUUACCUGGGCUUGACAUGGUGCUGCAAGCGCACGGAAACGUGUGACCUUCGAGGGUGCACCACAGAUGCUGCAUGGCUGUCGUCAGCUCGUGUCGUGAGAUGUUGGGUUAAGUCCCGCAACGAGCGCAACCCCCGUGGUGUGUUGCCAGCAUUAAGUUGGGGACUCACACCAGACUGCCGGUGACAAACCGGAGGAAGGUGGGGAUGACGUCAAGUCAUCAUGGCUCUUACGCCCAGGGCUAGAAACGUGCUACAAUGGCGCAUACAAUGGGUUGCAAGACCGCGAGGUGGAGCGAAUCUCAUCAAAGUGCGUCUAAGUUCGGAUCGCAGUCUGCAACUCGACUGCGUGAAGGCGGAGUUGCUAGUAAUCGCGGAUCAGCAUGCCGC
rnacentral:rRNA from 1 species